rnacentral:tRNA from 1 species
GUCUCUGUAGCGCAAUGGAUAGCGCGUUGGACUUCUAAUCCAAAAGUCGUGGGUUGGAAUCUCUCCUGAGAUG